ACAUAGCUGAUGAGUCCCAAAUAGGACGAAACGCGCGUCCUGGAU
rfam:Schistosoma rodhaini strain Burundi genome assembly, scaffold: SROB_scaffold0000558